rnacentral:tRNA from 1 species
UCCAAUAUGGCAGAAUAAUGCAAUAAAUUUAAGAUUUAUAAAUAAAGAUAUAUCUUUUAUUGGAA